rnacentral:rRNA from 1 species
GACGAACGCUGGCGGCGUGCUUAACACAUGCAAGUCGUACGGUAAGGCCCUUUCGGGGGUACACGAGUGGCGAACGGGUGAGUAACACGUGAGUAACCUGCCCACAACUUUGGGAUAACGCUAGGAAACUGGUGCUAAUACUGGAUAUGUGCUCCUGCUGCAUGGUGGGGGUUGGAAAGCUCCGGCGGUUGUGGAUGGACUCGCGGCCUAUCAGCUUGUUGGUGGGGUAGUGGCCUACCAAGGCGGCGACGGGUAGCCGGCCUGAGAGGGUGACCGGCCACAUUGGGACUGAGAUAAGGCCCAGGCGCCUACGGGAGGCAGCAGGGGGGAAUAUUGCACAAUGGGCGCAAGCCUGAUGCAGAAACGCCGCGGGCGGGAUGACGGGCUUCGGGUUGGAAACCGCUUUCAGCAGGGACGAAGCUUUUUGUGACGGUACCUGCAGAAGAAGCACCGGCUAACUACGUG